GGGCCGUUAGCUCAGUUGGUAGAGCACCUGACUUUUAAUCAGGGUGUCGCGAGUUCGAGUCUCGCACGGCUCACUA
rnacentral:tRNA from 1 species